rnacentral:lncRNA from 1 species
AUCGUUCAAUACUGUCGAUGGUAAGCGGUUCAGUAGUAAUCCCAAGUAGCUUGACCCGGCGCCUAGCUCACUUUCAUAUACAAACUUUCCUUUACCAGUAGGUUUCUACACAGUUUGCUAAUUCGAUACAACUUGCCUUUAUAAACUCGUCAACUCCUACGAGAAAAGCGUUCCUCGUCGUGGUAAUUGUGGCCUAUCGGGCGAAUCGAUGACUGCAUAAAAGAUUGACUUGCUAGUACUAGAUUCAUUGGCAUAGUUGUAAAUUGCCCCAGACUUUGGAUUAUCCCGGACCUACUUAGAGGUAUUGACGGUGAUUCUCAAAUCUCGCAGAACAGAAUGUGAGUAGAUGAGAUGGAAUGCAAUAGAAACAAAGACACAAGGAACGGCUACUCUUACCAGUCAAAGUCGGGUAGACUAAGAUAGAGUUGAUUUGACAGUUGUUCUUGAUUUGACAGUUGUUCCAGGGAUAUGGGUAUAUAGUUCAUUCUAUUCAUUAUUCAGUGGAGUGGGCACUUCUUUCU